CCAGCUCACUCAGCCACCUUCUGUAAUUUGUGCUACACUGAUCUUGCACUGUUCUGGAAACUGCUUUUCAUGAUGCCACUCCUGCUGCCUGAGUGAAUCAAUAAACCAUUUUAACCAGAAUUACAGACCAGUGUCAGGAGGCAGGAGAUCAGCAGUCAAUUAUGGCAGGACAAAACA